UACGUAGGGUGCGAGCGUUAAUCGGAAUUACUGGGCGUAAAGCGUGCGCAGGCGGUUCUCCAAGUCCGUUGUGAAAGCCCCGGGCUCAACCUGGGAAUGGCAGUGGAAACUAGGGGACUGGAAUCUGGCAGAGGGGGGUGGAAUGCCGCGUGUAGCAGUGAAAUGCGUAGAGAUGCGGCGGAACACCGAUGGCGAAGGCGGCUCACUGGCUCAUUACUGACGCUCAGGCGCGACAGCGUGGGGAUCAAACAGG
rnacentral:rRNA from 1 species